AAGUCGUAACAAGGUUUCCGUAGGUGAACCUGCGGAAGGAUCAUUACCUAGAGUUGCGGGCUUUGCCUGCCAUCUCUUACCCAUGUCUUUUGAGUACCUUCGUUUCCUCGGUGGGUUCGCCCGCCGAUUGGACAACACUUAAACCCUUUGUAAUUGAAAUCAGCGUCUGAAAAAACUUAAUAGUUACAA
rnacentral:misc_RNA from 1 species